UUUGACGUCCGAAGUCCAUUAUGAGAGUACAUCGUAUGAUUUCCACUGCAGGUCGCUAAAUUUGACUACUUCCGUUUCCUAAGUCCCAUCUACAGCGCCCUCUAUAACGUCUGGAACCGAACCAACAAGCAAAGACAAGCCGCCAUAUUUGUCAUUGUUGCGUCGUUUUUUCCCACGUGCAGUCGUUAAUAUUUUAAGAAGUUAGUAAUUUAAAAUGUUAUAAGCAACUUUCGAGAUUUGAAGUAGAAAGUUUGUUUCAAACAAGUGUUAUGAUUAUCUUCCGUUUCGUGAAAACCUCCAAAGCUCUACAAUGAGUGACGAGGUUAUCGCGCCUUUCAAAGUAAAAUUUCUUCGGAUAUUUCUUCGGGUUCGUCGGAAAAUAAAGACUAGGGACCAGCAAGAAAACUUCGAAAAAGUGACUGGUCGCGAGAUCUGAAUAAAAGGUUUGACUUACUGUCGCAAUAAUGGGUGAGUCAUGUGAAUAUUAUUUUAACUUCGAAUCAUGCUAUUGCUGGUCGUGCACCAGUGGUCCCGCUUUUACACUUACAAAUACCAACAUCUUAUAAUAAUAAUGUCUGAUCUGGUUUCAACUUCCAAUCGAAAUUAGACAACGACGAAUAGUUUUUACGUCUGCCACCAGACCGUCCGUUACCAGAAGCGGGUAGGUUUUGAAAUUUGAGCAUUUCUAUAAAAGAACCAGAUAUGCAAAGAUUUGACUAGCCGACUUGGAACGCGGUGCAGUAUUCGGAGGUCCUGCUUUAUCUAAUGCUCUUUUGGCACAGAACGAAUGCGUUAUGCUGCCUUACAAAACCUUGCCGACGGGUCAAAUUCAGAGAUUGUUCAGCUUAAUACUUCCGCCUUUUACGAAAAGUUUAAACCGCUAUUCGGUAACGAUUUCGCCUAUAAAAGUUUCUAACGAUAUCCUUCAAAUAAUUUUCGAUAAGCGAGCCGAGGUUAUACGAUAGCGUCGUAGAUACCUCAUAAAGAAAUUAAAGGAUAGAUAUAUCAGGGAAGAUAUAGAGAAAAUAUCUUCUUCUUGUGAUUAUGUUUAACCCCAACUUAUUAUUGGCAUAUAUACAGAAAAUUGGUGAUAUAGAUAAAUUACAAAAGCGGCACCGUCUGCUACUCGCAUCCGGCCCGCAUCACCGGAACACUCGGCUUGUACUGCCAAUGCAAAGCCAUGUCGAGGUAGGCCACAUUCCAAUACAUCUAAAGAGGCCGAAAACAGAUAUUCUGAGCGAUGCUAUCCAAAUAAUUCCUCAGCAAGAAAAACGGGGGGAGGGGGGAACAAGUACAAAGUGGAACGAAAAUCAGGAAAUAAAAAUAAAUUACUCAACAGCAUUUUCAGGCGGAUGUCUAAGACUAUAUCGAAACACCUGGACUCGAUCCACCAAACGUAAUAUUGAAAUUAAUAAUAACUUGAUGUCAAUCAAAAUCCAAAAUUUAAUUCAAUAGAGCUUUAGAGCCCGCACCCCCGAUACCGUCUUUCAGAUUUCCUCUUUUCAUACUUCCCAAGACCAAUAAAAAAUCGAACAAUUUUCAACCUCAAGGCAUUGAACAAGUACAUGAAACAGUCUUUUUCACCUUUUCCACCAUCGAGUUCCUAAGUUUUAUAACAGAUCGGAAUGUCAAACUGGAUUUGAGCCAGGCCUAUUAUCAUCUAUCAAUGACGUUUCUCGGGAUCAGUUAUCAGGGUCGUCUACUUCAGAUGAUAUGUCUGCCAUUCGGCUUAGCUGCACCACCGCGGAUUUUUGCUUCAGUGACAAACUAAAUAGCCGAAAUACUUCGCCAGAAGGGUCUGCGACUAGUGGUUAUCUGCUUGUACACCAGGGCAGAACAUCUCCCGCCAUCGGAGCAAAGCUUAUCCAUAUUAUCUGGAACCGCUGCGUUCAUUGACAGUGCGUUUCCAGAGGUCUUUUUUGCCACGUACCAGCUAUGGCACGUGCACGUGCCUAGCGCAGCACGUGGCUAUGGAAUGAGCUCCCUCCACGGUGUUUCCCGAGCGCUAUGACAUGUCCUUCUUCAAACGAGGCUUGUGAGAGAAUUAAUUGCCUACAAGGGCAAAAGACUUGUUGAAAUCUCAAGUAACUAUACUGAGACCUUAGAACUCAUAUCUCAAGGUGGGUGGCGGCAUUUACGCUGUAGAUGUCUAUGGCCUCCAGUAUCCACUUAACACCAGGUAAGCUGUAAACUCGUCCACCCAUCUAAGCAACCGGUUAUGACACUGACGAGCUUGAUAGACUUUCUGGGAAUCGUAUGGGACACCAAAUCCAAGACAAAGUCCCUGCCCAAGAAUUUGCUCGUGCGACUUACUGCCGGCGGUUGGAACCUAAAGCAGGCGCAAAGCCUCUUAGGAUAUCUCAACUUUGCGACUUUCAUCACCCACCGGGGAAAGUUGCUUUGCCGAGUCCUUGCAGUACCACAGCAACAAGCUCAGGAGGUAUCCUCAUUUACCAAAGCAGUAUUCGGACGAGGUACGCACAGAGCUGGAUUGGUGGUUAGAGAAAGUCAGUCAGAGCACACCAAUUCAUCCACAGAGAAUGGCUACGAACCACGUCAUCACCGACGCGUCGGACAUUGUGGGGAGCCCUUGUAAACAACAGAACAGAAUUUGCCUACAUAAAGAACAAGGGAGGAACCCGGUUACGAUAAUUGCUAGAUCUGACUGGAAAAUUGCUUAACUUAAUAGACCACCUCAAAGUUGUACUUCUCCCUCACCACCUACCGUGACUGUACAACACUGAAGCCGAUCACCUCUUACGCAAUCGCGGCGGCUUGGAGUGGUAUCUCACAGAAAAAGCAACUACUAGGCUAUUCAGCCUGUGGGGAACUUGUUCGCGUCUCGGACCGCUCAUGGAUAAAAAACUAUGUUUACCUCUUGUGAGUCCGCGCGAGUAGGUAUUUUGCCCUGAAGCAGUGGUGCGUCUCGGUUUGAAGGGUGGGGCAGCCGUUGUAAGUAUACUUGAGACCUUAGAUCUUAUAUCUCAAGGUGGGUGGCGCAUUUACGUUCUAGACGUCUAUGGGCUCCAGUGACCACUUAAUACCAGGUGAGCUGUGAGCUCGUCCACCCAUCAAAGCAAAACUCGAACGUCUGCCUCUACAACGCGUUCAGCAGAUCUUGGCAUUACUGACUAGCAUGGCCGUUUCCGCCGCUCAGUCUGAUAUCCAGAGUGCUGGACCACCUCAACUCAACCUCAGGUCGGUACAUACUAGUGGUACCCAAGUGCAAGAAGCCCCUGUGGAGGCCAGACCUGAAAUCACCUGCCCUCAAGCGACUCAAGAAGCUCAGAAAUCUGAACAUCAGUCUGGUGGACACUGACAAUGCUACCGCCAGGCUGUCAGCAAUCUACACCUGGAAGCUUGGUUCAUUUUGGGUGGGACACGCUGACAGGGACAUGGAAAUCGGCAGGAGAGAAACUUACUAUUAUCGUGCUGGAGAGAGUCUACGAUAAGAACAUACGCCCCUAUUUGGAAUAAGGGGUAAGGUUUUGUCAAGAAAAUGUAUUAAUUCUCGUGUACCCGAAUUAGAAAAUGUAGCUAGAUUUCUGUUAUCUGUAUUUAUCUCAUGGUCUCUCCUACCGGACCAUUCUAGUUUAUAAGUCUGUUAUAUAGCGUCGGUUUGUGAAACUCUAUCGGAUAUAAAAAAUAGCUUCGAGCCCGACAGUGAAACAUACUGAAAUCUAUUUCCUUGACAAAGCCUGCACCUUCUAAAUUACUGAUAUUUGGGUCGAAAACUAAUUGAUCUUCACACCAACAGUCCAGUUGGACAUUCGUGGCUGCUCCUGACCAAUUGAUCAUCGAUGCAGUAUACUGGCUACGCAAUCUAGUGAAUAUGACACAGCAAACCAGUGGGAAUAUUUAAUCUAUUCUUAGCAACUAAAGGCUCCACUAAGCCAGCUACUGCAGCGAGGAUUAGUAGUUGGGUAAAAAGUCUUUUAGGAGACUCAGGUAUUCAGGCCUCAGUUGGAAGCUGUAGAGCGGUGGUGAAAACUUUAAACUGGGUAGGAAAUUACCAAAUUAAUGAUAUUUCAGCUAAAGAUAACUGACAACAUGAGCAUACUUUUAGAAAGUUCUAUCAAAAACUUAUUAUUAAUGCAUCAAACACUGAUAUAAAUUCUGAGAAAUCUUUCUCAGUAUUUUCGUCCUAAAUCUUAUUAGGUCGAUUUGAAUUAAGUGGGUAAUAUUAUACGGUUACCUUCAAUUAAUUUAAAUUACGUGCUUAAUUUAAGCUUUGCUUAAUUAAACACAAUAAGUCACAUUGUUGCUUUUUAAAUAAAUAUUAUUUUAUUUCAAAUACAAGCCACCAGGAGAUAACAAACAGUCUCUCAUAAUGGACUUCGGACGUCAAACGGAACACAUAAUAUAGAAAUUUUACCUUCCAAUAAAAUUUGUAUUAUGUUUCCUAAGACGUCCGAAGUCCAGAUAAUGUCUUCCUGGGGCUACAUCCAUCAUUAUGAGCCGAACAAUGACAAAUAUGGCGGCUUGUCUUUGCUUGUUGGUUCGGUUCCAGACGUUAUAGAGGGCGCUGUAGAUGGGACUUAGGAAACGGAAGUAGUCAAAUUUAGCGACCUGCAGUGGAAAUCAUACGAUGUACUCUCAUAAUGGACUUCGGACGUCUUAGGAAACAUAAUACAAAUUUUAUUGGAAGAUGAGAACAAACGAGUCCAUUCUAAGGCAGCUAGACAUCCGAAAAAGGCUCUCUUUCAUCUGCCGGGAACGUGCUAUGAGCUUCUUCGGACACAUCAUGCGGUCUCCCAGACAUGAAUUAGAGAAGCUCAUAAUUACGGGUCGCAUAGAGGGCAAGCGCUCCGUGGGCAGAAUACCAGCCAGAUGGUCAGAUCUAGCAAGAGAUGGUCAGAUCUAGCACUUGGUGGUAGUCUGUACCAUGCAGUCCAUACCACCCAUGAUCGAGCACAUUGGAAGUACGUCGCAUGUGGUCGCGAUCCUCAGUAGUGAGGGAACGAUAUAGAAGUAGAAGAUGUUGUCUUAUGAUAUUAAAUGAAAGUUUUUGACAAA